ensembl:lncRNA
AGUGGGAGACAAGAACCAAAAGAAAAGAUAUCACUCCAGGUGAAAUACACAGAGGAAGCACUGGAGUAACAGCCCCAGGUGUAGAUGGAUGGGUUCCAAAAACUAUCGAAACAACAGCUUCAGCUCCAGGUAGUCAGGUCUUUGAUGCAACCUUGGUUAUAAAAGGACACGGGGCAGGAAAUUGCAGCGGACAUAUCACUCCAAACACAGUUGCCAAGACCUCAGGAACCCUUGCAACAAUCAUCUCAGUUGCAGGUAGACGGGGUCCAGGAACUCUUGGAAGAACAAUUCUAGCUGCAGGCAGACAGGACCUUGACACAAGUCUGGUGGCAAAAGGACAGGGAGCAGGAAUUAGCAGAGGAGAUCCAGCUCUGAUUAGAGUCACUCAGCUACCAGCACAAGCUUCAAGCAAAAAUCUACAGCCUCCAGCAAUAGUUAGAUUAACGAGUCCAGGUACUGGUGACUGGGGUCUGGAAACCACAAGAGCAGCAAAUUUAGUUCCAGAGCGACAGACUUCAGGAGCCAAAGUAACAUCAAGCACCAUGGAAGGUGGUUUGGUCUUGGGAACUAGGGCAGUGACGAAAACAGUUGGAGGAACCAUUAGAGAAAGGAAAUUAACCAUCAGAAGCACACAUAGGCUAACUGAGGGAACUGUGAACAUUGGAAUACCUCAGAUUACCACCAGAAACAGCCCGGGAACCAUGAGGCCUUCAACAACGGUCAGAGACAGUCUCAGAGAAGUAACUCCAGGCACAGACCAACAGAUUCAGGAGGUCACCAGAGCUACAGCCCCAGAUGCAGAUGUAGGUGCUUGGUUCUCAGGAACCAUUAGAAAAGGGGAAGCUUCAGUCUUAGAAGGAACAGCUGCUAUUGGUAGAGAAAGUCAUUCUGAGGAACCACUGAGAAUUCCAGGAGCUGCACUUCUGAUUCCUCCCAGCAAGAAGCCCUUCAUGGAGAACUCAUCUCCAGAUCAGAAGCGUGUCUCCCAGAUCCUAAUUACUCUCUCUACUGUGUUGCUUCCACUUGUUCUCCUGGUUCUGUUGCUACUGCUAAGGAAGCUUCGAAAGAGGAUCUCUGUUCGGACACAGAAGCCCACGUUUUCCCUAAUCCAGCUAACUAACUUUCAAGAUCUCCCUGAGAAGCUGAGCUUGGAAGCGCUACAGUCCCAGGAAGCCUAAUUCCUCCACAGUCAUCCCCACGGAAGGCAAUCAGGGAGAUCAAGUCUCCUAUCUGUGGCAGUCUGAGCCUCUCAGAGGGAGACCUGAGGCCCUCAGUGUCUCCCUGGAACACUAGGACCAGGAGCUCCUGGACAUAAAUUCCAUACCACCUCUUCCCUAUAGUUGAAAGAGGAGGCCAAAGGAGCUGGGGUUCAACCUUGAGAAGAAAAAGGUGAGGUUGUGAGGACUUAAUUAUUUUUAAAUCUAGGAGGGGUGUUAAAAUGAAGGAUGCUUAUUGAUUGCUCACCACCAAAGAAUGGAUGAAGAGAUUUUAAAUUUCAGUGAGACUCCAGAAAGGAUUUUCAGAUUAAGAGAAGAAUUACUGAUCCCUGGAAGAGACUACCAGGGGAGGCCAUGAAAUCUCCAUCCCCAAAGAUCUAACAAUUGUGAUCUCUCCUUACUCCAAAUCCCCUCCCCCAUUACUUUGUAAUUCUCAUAUGGUAUUUUUUACAUCUAAAUUUGUACUGUAGUUAUUUGUGCAUGGACUUAGUGUAUCAUUCCAAAACACGGACUGUAAAUUUCCCAAGAAUGUCUUCUUCAUCUUUGUAUCUCCCAUAGUGCCCAAGCAUGUAGUAAACACUCAAUAAAUACAUUUGUUGAAGUGAAUUGAGUUGUCUA